AACUGUGAACUUUGUUGAAUAAUCAUUGUUAGUUAAAGCUGUGAAUUUUGUUGUUGUUACUUGUUACUGAGUUGAAUAAUUAUUGACUAAUUUGCAGUGGGUUUUUGUGAACCUGUGAUUGAUGAUGAAUUGAUGAUUGAUGACUCUGUCGUUGCCCAUUGCUCACUGCUUUUUUGCUUAAAUUAAAAAUCUUGUUAAUCUUGUUCAUUAAAUUGAGGAUUGAUGAUUAAAUUGUUAACAGAACCCACUUUACAAAAAAUCAAGAAUAUCUAAGCUGUGAAUUUAUCUUGCUACCAGGACCAACACAGAUGCUAAUAGAAAACUGUUACUAAACUAUGGAUUUUUUGUCAAAUGGUUGAUAUUUUUAGGUUGGUGAUUAUAAUAGGAAAUACAGGGAAGCUUAGGAUUAAAAAUGGAUUGGGAGAUUGCAGACUUGACUCUGCAGUUUUGAUAAUGCCAUUUCCAACAAGCUUCCAAUUUGUUUAUGUAGUUCGUGUCUCUACUUGUCAAUUGUUGUAUAUAUGAAUGUGUGAUAUAUGUUGUUUGUCUCUCUGUUCUCUCUUCCUUUUUAUCUUUUGUUGAUUGUGGUAGAGUUGUUUGCCUAUGUUUAUUCACUAAAGUAUUUGUAUUUUGAUAAGAUCAUAUGGCUGGGUUUGGAUGAUGACAUUUUAUGUAAUAUUUUAAAAUUUAUAUUAAACUAUAAUUAUAUUUUAGAAUGUUUAUUUAUAAUUUAUCUAUUAUUUUAUUAUAAAAUGGUUUUUCCGGUUGAACCUUGAACCACGGUUAGACCGGUUAGACCAGUAAACCAGUGAAUCAGUGACUAGAGCGGUUUAAUAACCGGUCCGGUUUUUAAAACCUUGGAAAAAUCUCCACUCUUGCUUAUGUGAAGCUUGGGUAAGGUGAGGAUAUGAUAAUUCUAUUUUAUUUUCAUUGAAUUUGAACUUUGAGUAUUAAAUUGGAUAUAUAUUUGUUAUGAAUGUGUAUUAGGUUGUGAAUAAAUAAUUGGAACUUGAAAUUGUGAAUACUGGAACUUGGAGGAAGCGGAUUAGUUGAGUUUUGAGGGGCUGCCUUGGUUUUGAAUAAAUAGCUUUGGUCGUUAUGUGGAAAUCGGCCAAGGUAUGGUUUAGGUUUCUUGCAUUUAAUAUAUAAUGUUCUGUAAAAACUUAGGCUAGAUGACCAUAGGAUAAGUUGGAAUGUAGGAGUAUAUUUAAUAUUUAGUAAUUUGUCGAUGAAUAUAUUUGGUUGAAGUUUAUUGGAUAAUUAGUUAUUAAUUUUGGAUGGUGAAUGUUGUUAUGUUAAUUUGGAGAUAAUUAUGGUUGAAUGUUAUUGUUGAUGAACAUGGUUGAUUUGGUGCUCGUUGAUUUACUAAUGAUUUGAUGAAUUAUUGAUUUGAGGUAUAACUAUUGUGGAGGUUGUUGUGAUAAUGAGGUAUUUUGUGUUAGAAGCCUAAGAUUAGUGAACUAUGAUCCUUAGUUGAAUUUUGGUUGUUGGAUUUGAAUAUUGUAUGAGUAUAAUUGUUGAUCUAAGGUAGAUUUAUUGUGGUGACUGUUAUGAUGAUGAGGAAGGGUAUGUUGAAUUGAAAAGAAAGCAGGUUUGGAACCGAAAAAGGUGGCAAAGUCUGAGUUUUAGAGGAGAUGCUGCCGAAAUUUUAUGAAAAUUAGAGAUUUUGUUUAUAUGAUUAUUUAAAAAGAUUUAGAUUCAAAGGUUAUAUGGUUUGAUUUAGAGUUAUUUAGAAAAUGAGCAUGUUUUAAGUUUGAUUCAUUUAGAAAAGAAUGAAUUAUGUUUUGAAUUGGAACUAUUGAUGGACGGAAUGGGAGGUGUGAUAAUGAAGGAUAAGGAUUGAAUAUGAUUGACGUAUAAUGAUGAGUGAGAUGUGAUUGAGAAUGAUGUGGAUGUUGAUGAAUUAUAAUUGAAUUAUUUAUAUAGCUUAUGAAUUUAAAUAAUAUGAGAUACGAGAUUCCCUGGAUCAAGUGCCGUGGCUUGCCACCACGUGUACCAGGUUGAAAACUCGAUACUCUGUUGACCCUACGACGUAAGUGUGACCGGACACUAUAUAAAUUCCCGGGAAUGUUACCCCCAUUGUGCAAUAUUGAUUAUUUGAGAAAAAGCUAUGCAUAGACUCAAUGGGAUGCACGUCGGGGGACAGUCUAAGGACAAUUCAGACUUGUCGAGUUGGCUAGAUAACUGACAGAUGAGCCUCAUAAGCCAUAAGACAGGCAUGCAUCAUAUGCAUAUUACUUGAAUUACUUGCUUGUGCUUUAAUUGGGUGUGCCUAUAUGUACUUGCCAUGCUAAAUGUGUGUUUGUUACCUGUAAUAACUGUAACCUUCUUGUGUUUGCCUUAUUUGUCUAUUUGUCUGUGAGAAUGCAUGAAGGAGUUGGAGGUAUGGAAGAAUGGCAGUAUGGGACAUAGAUUUAAGGUUAAGUUAAGUUAGGAUUAAAUAUUUUUAGAAAAUCACCUUUUAUGGCUAAUGUUUAAUACUUUAAGCACUUUAAUCUGAGUGUCGGCGUUCUAGGAUUGCCUCUGGCAUUCCCAGGGCCUUAUAUAUUAUGUGUGUGGCACCUUUACCAUACUGAGAACCUCUGGCUCUCAUUCCAUACUAUGUUGUUGUUUUUCAGAUGCAGGUCGAGAGGCAUCUCGUUAGGCGUCUGGACUCUUAAAGCGGAGGGGUUACUGGGUAGUUUUGUUGUAAAGAUAUAAAUAAAUAUGUACUUAGCUUUCUCUCCGCUUAACUUGUUCUUUUUUAUCCUCUUAGAGGUUUAUGGAGAGGCAGGAUUAUGUAUAUGUACUUUGGGUUUUGGAUAUGUAUGUAUAUAUAUGUAAAUAUUCUCCGGCCAGUCUUAACUUCGCGGCUAAGUUAGGAGCUUGUUAUUUUGUAUCUUUGGCAAUCUAUUCCUACUUCUGUUA